rnacentral:rRNA from 1 species
AUUGAACGCUGGCGGCAUGCCUUACACAUGCAAGUCGAACGGUAACAGGUCUUCGGAUGCUGACGAGUGGCGAACGGGUGAGUAAUACAUCGGAACGUACCUAGUAGUGGGGGAUAACUACUCGAAAGAGUGGCUAAUACCGCAUGAGAUCUACGGAUGAAAGCAGGGGAUCGCAAGACCUUGUGCUACUAGAGCGGCCGAUGGCAGAUUAGGUAGUUGGUGGGAUAAAAGCUUACCAAGCCGACGAUCUGUAGCUGGUCUGCGAGGACGAUCAGCCAAACUGGGACUGAGACACGGCCCAGACUCCUACGGGAGGCAGAAGUGGGGAAUUUUGGACAAUGGGCGAAAGCCUGAUCCAGCAAUGCCGCGUGCAGGAUGAAGGCCUUCGGGUUGUAAACUGCUUUUGUACGGAACGAAAAGCCCCGGGUUAAUACCCUGGGGUCAUGACGGUACCGUAAGAAUAAGCACCGGCUAACUACGUGCCAGCAGCCGCGGUAA